rnacentral:snRNA from 14 species
CUACGUGCCUGGCAGUGGAGAUACCAUGAUCAAUAAGAUGGCUGUCCCAGGGUGAGGCCUGUCCCUUGUCUGCUGGGCAUGCUGACCCCUGCAACUUCCCCGCUGUGGUUCUCAUGUGCCCAUUGCACUCUGGGUAGGCCGACCCCUACGGGUUUCCCUAAAUGCAGGGAAUUCGUCUAUCCAAUUUUGUAGCAAUGUGGGACUGCUUUUUUUGCCUUCCCCCG